GACAGAGGGUGCAACCGUUGUUCGGAAUUACUGGGCGUAAAGCGCGUGUAGGCGGCUAUGCAAGUCGGGCGUGAAAGCCCUCGGCUCAACCGAGGGAGUGCACUCGAAACUGCGUAGCUAGAGUCCCGGAGAGGAAGGUGGAAUACUUGGUGUAGAGGUGAAAUUCGUAGAUAUCAAGUGGAACACCGGUGGCGAAGGCGGCCUUCUGGACGGUGACUGACGCUGAGACGCGAAAGCGUGGGGAGCAAACAGG
rnacentral:rRNA from 1 species